rnacentral:misc_RNA from 1 species
AUGGUAUUUCAUCGUUUUACGUAUAGCAGUAUUGCUUUAAGCUAUAAUUAAUAAUAUAAAAACCCUUCACCUUAAAAUUGUACCUACUAUCAAACAAUAGCUUAAUUAAAUAUAAAGCUGAAUACUGCUAAACACCUACUAAAGAUUUAUUUUUUCUAAAUUUUAAACUAAAAAUUUCCCUUGACUUCAAAGAUUUUUUCAUCAAAAUAAAAGUACAAA